UACGUAGGGUGCGAGGCGUUGUCCGGAAUUAUUGGGCGUAAGAGCUCGUAGGCGGUCUGUCGCGUCGAAUGUGAAAACCCGGGCUCAACUCCGGGCUUGCAUUCGAUACGGGCAGACUAGAGUUCGGUAGGGGAGACGUGGAAUUCCUGGUGUAGCGGUGAAAUGCGCAGAUAUCAGGAGGAACACCGGUGGCGAAGGCGGGUCUCUGGGCCGAUACUGACGCUGAGGAGCGAAAGCGUGGGGAGCAAACAGG
rnacentral:rRNA from 1 species